AAUGAAAGUGUUUUCAUUUUUCAUUUUUGAUUUCACAAAAACAAAAAACGAAAAACGAAAGUGUAUUCAAUUUAUCUUUCCCCACACUGUUUAAUUGUCAUUCAAAAAAUGACAAUGUUGUCAUUUGUCAUUCAUUUAAAGGUCGUUAAAGUAUACAUGCACAGCGGUUGUCAGAUCAAUACUACUUUAAUCGAAGAUAAUGUCGACGGAUGCAAAAGUCUUUAUCAAUCUAAACAAUAAGGG
rnacentral:lncRNA from 1 species